ensembl:lncRNA
AUGACACGAGACAACAGCUCAACAACACAACGAGACAACAGCACAAUGACACGAGACAACAGCACAACAACACAACGACACAACAGCACAACGACACAACAACACAAUGACACAACGAGACAACAGCACAACAACACAACGACACAACAGCACAACAACACAAUGACACAACAGUACAACGACACAACGAGACAACAGCACAACAACACGACACAACACCACAACAACACAAUGACACAACACAACAACACAACUCAGCAGCACAACAGCACAACACCACAACACCCGACUGACGCCGCUGUCCCCCAGCAGAGCUGUGCCGCAAACAGGCGGCGCCCAAUUUCAGCCCUUAUUCACAACAACACAACACAGCAACACCACAACAACACCGCAGCACAACAACACAACACCGCAGCACCACAACUCAACUCCACAACACAACACCACAACAACAACACAACAACUCAACUCCACAACACAACACCACAACACCACAACAACACCACACAUCAACACAUCGCAAUACCACGUCACCACAACACAGCAACACAACAACACAACAGCGCAGCACCACAACACAACACCACAACAACACAGCAACUCAACUCCACAACACAACACCACAACUCAACUCCACAACACCACAGCAACACGACACCACAACAGCACGACACCACAACAGCACAACACCACAGCACCCGACUGACGCCGCUGUCCCCCGGCAGAGCUGUGCCGCAAACAGGCGGCGCCCGAUUUCAGCCCUUAUUACUACGCCUACCGGGUGAACAACAGCUUCCUCUGCAUCACCGACUGCAGCCCCGGCUUCCCCAGCGCCAUCGACUGCCACAGCGGGCUCUGCAGGGUGACAACCCAGGGGCCGCGCUGUUUCUGCCCCGAAAUUCCAGGCUUUCUCUCCUCCGGGGAUCGAUGCCAGUCCCAAAUCAGCCGUGUGGGGCUGGGGGUGGGGGUGGGGGUGGGGCUGGGGCUGCCCUUCCUCCUCCUCCUCCUCCUCCUCCUCCUCCUCCAUUGCGCCCCAUGGGGGAGGAAGGCCAACAGGUGAGCGAAUUCCCCUUUUCCACUUUUUCUCCCCAAUUUUCCCCAAUUUUCCCGAUUUUUUCCCCCAUUUUACGCCAUUAUUAUCCCCAUUUUCCUCAAUUUUCCCCCAAUUUUCCCAAUUUUCCUGAUUUUCCCCCAUUUUACGCCAUCAUUUUCCCCAAUUUCCUCAAUUUUCCCCCAAUUUUCCCAAUUUUCCUGAUUUUUUCCCCCAUUUUAUGCCAUCAUUUUCCCAAUUUCCUCAAUUUUCCCCCAAUUUUCCCCAAUUUUCCUGAUUUUUUUACCCCAUUUUACGCCAUUAUUUUCCCAAUUUCCUCAAUUUUCCCCCAAUUUUCCCAAUUUUUUCCUGAUUUUUCCCCAUUUUUCCUUAUUUUACACCGUUCUUUUCCCAACUUCCCCAUACUUUCCUCAAUUUUCCCCCAUUUUCCCCCCAUUUAUCCCCAUUUCCAGCUAUUUUCCUGAUUUUUCCUGAUUUUCUCCUAUUUUACACCAUUAUUUUCCCCAAUUUCCUGUUUUUUCCUCAAUUUCUCCCUAUUUUACAAGAAUUUUUCCUGAUUUUUCCUGAUUUUUCCCCAUUUUUCCUUAUUUUACACCGUUAUUUUCCCAACUUCCCCAUACUUUCCUCAAUUUUCCCCCAUUUUUUCCCCAAUUUUCCCAUUUUUCCCCCAUUUUCCCCAUUUUCCCCCAUUAUUUUCCUCAUUUCCCCCAUUUUCCCCCAAUUUUCCCCAUUUUCCCCCAUUUUCCCCAUUAUUUCCCCUAUUUUCCCCAUUUCCCCCAUUAUUUACCACACUUUUUCCCCAAUUACCCCCAUUUUCCCCCAUUAUUUUCCUCAUUUUCCCCCAAUUUCCCCAUUUUCCCGCAUUAUUCCUCCCAGUUUCCCCUUUUUUCCCCCUUUAUUUUCCCCAUUUUCCCCCAUUUCCUCCAUUUUUCCCCAUUUUCCCCGAUUAUUUCCCCUGAUUUCCCGCAUUUUCUUCAAUUUUCC